rnacentral:rRNA from 1 species
CCAAACUCUUUCUGUAGUCCCCUCGCGGACGUUAUUUCUUACAGCUCUGAGCAAAAAUUCAAAAUGAAUCAAAACUUUCAACAACGGAUCUCUGGUUCUGGCAUCGAUGAAGAACGCAGCGAAAUGCGAUAAGUAAUGUGAAUUGCAGAAUUCAGUGAAUCAUCGAAUCUUUGAACGCACAUUGCGCCCGCCAGUAUUCUGGGGGGCGUGCCUGUCCGAGCGUCAUUUCAACCCUCGAACCCCUCCGGGGGGUCGGCGUUGGGGAUCGGGAACCCCUGAGACGGGUCCCGGCCCCGAAAACAGUGGCGGUCUCGCCGCAGCCUCCCCUGCGCAGUAUUUGCACAACUCGCACCGGGAGCGCGGCGCGUCCACGUCCGUAAAACACCCAACUUCUGAAAUGUUGACCUCGGACAGGUAGGAAUACCCGC